rnacentral:rRNA from 1 species
AUACGUAGGGUGCGAGCGUUGUCCGGAAUUACUGGGCGUAAAGAGCUCGUAGGUGGUUUGUCGCGUCGUCUGUGAAAUUCCGGGGCUUAACUCCGGGCGUGCAGGCGAUACGGGCAUAACUUGAGUACUGUAGGGGAGACUGGAAUUCCUGGUGUAGCGGUGAAAUGCGCAGAUAUCAGGAGGAACACCGGUGGCGAAGGCGGGUCUCUGGGCAGUAACUGACGCUGAGGAGCGAAAGCAUGGGUAGCGAACAGGAUUAGAUACCCUGGUAGUCCAUGCCGUAAACGGUGGGCGCUAGGUGUAGGGGUCUUCCACGACUUCUGUGCCGUAGCUAACGCAUUAAGCCCCCCGCCUGGGGAGUACGGCCGCAAGGCUAAAACUCAAAGGAAUUGACGGGG